UCCAAGAGGAAAAAGCAUGAGAAUAGCCCCAGAGUGAUCGUAGUGUCCUGUUGUCUGCCACAGAAGCUACAGUCCGGCUGUUCACCAAAUGGCACCCAAUUCCCCAUCUAGUGUACUACUGUUUUUGGUAAAACAAUGUUUGUGCCCAGGUGGAUACAUUUGAAAAAGUAAGCAGGGGACAUAGAAAGAUCAUCUGAUGUUGACCUACCUCCUNNNNNNNNNNUGCUGUUUUAGGUGACGCGCGAGUCUGCUGUUUUAGGUGACGCGCGAGUCUGCUGUUUUAGGUGACGCGCGAGUCUGCUGUUUUAGGUGACGCGCGAGUCUGCUGUUUUAGGUGACGCGCGAGUCUGCUGUUUUAGGUGACGCGCGAGUCUGCUGUUUUAGGUGACGCGCGAGUCUGCUGUUUUAGGUGACGCGCGAGUCUGCUGUUUUAGGUGAUCUAACUGCCUUAAUGUGUUUGGACCCCAGGAAGAGCAGUUAAUGGGGAUCCCUAAUAGACACAAAUAUCAAUCCCAAAAGGUUUGAUUUCAUUAAACUGGCAGUAGUUGUGAUUAUUAGGCUGUAGGAACACCCUCUGGUCAAAACCUUGGGGGCUUCUCCGACUAUCCCCUGGUUGGUAGCAGUGUGGUAUAUAGUGAGGAGACUAACCUGUCUUUCUCCGUGAGAGGUCCACUCGGAGCUUCAUGGCUCCUCUGCUCUUGUCCUCCUUGUUGUCAGUCCCAGCAGGAGGCCGCACAACCAACAUCCCUUCUGAGGCGCCAUCGUCCUGUCCACUCUCGUCCGAGGUGUCUGACUCAUUCCCUCCAACUUGCUUGGCUGCAACAGAAGGCUUCCUCUUGGUGUGAGAAGAGGAGGGUCUCUCAGUCUCUGUUGAGCUCCCAGCCUGAGGAAUAAACAGUCAUGACAGUCUAUUAAAAAACAUCCAAGAGGAAAAAGCAUGAGAAUAGCCCCAGAGUGAUCGUAGUGUCCUGUUGUCUGCCACAGAAGCUACAGUCCGGCUGUUCACCAAAUGGCACCCAAUUCCCCAUCUAGUGUACUACUGUUUUUGGUAAAACAAUGUUUGUGCCCAGGUGGAUACAUUUGAAAAAGUAAGCAGGGGACAUAGAAAGAUCAUCUGAUGUUGACCUACCUCCUCCUCCUCCUCCUCGUCCUCCAUCUGGUCUGUAAUCGGAAGCUGACCUACUUCCUCCUCCAUCACUUGGUCUGUAGAUUCAGCUGAGGCCUUACUCAUUUUACCUGCCAACAACAAGCCAUUAUUAGGUCUGAAAUUAUACAUAUUAGCUCCCAGUCAAAUCAUCAACCGGAGGACAAUCCAGACAGAAUUUUUUUCCAGCUCACCCUGGAUUACUAUGGCUGUCAAUGGGAAUAUAAAAGGAAUACCUCCCAGAUAGCAGUUCAUAGGGCUUCCACUAGAUGUCAACAGUCAUUAGAAAGAGUUUCAGGCUUGUCUUUUGAAAGAUGACUUAGAAUUUGUAGUUUUAGCAAGUGGCUCCCAUUUUGGCUGUAAUGUUUGUUGCGGUGAGAGUGCGUACUUCGUUAAUUAUCUCCGGUAAGCGUCUCCGGUAUUCUCCAUCUUAAAUUGUAUUGUGCAUUUACAUAAUAGGGUACCUGAGGAUUGAUUAGGAACGUUGUUUGAUAUGUUUGGAAGAAGUUUAUUGGUAAUUUACGGGAUUCAUUUGUAUGCAUAUUGAACGAGGGAAACCGGUGGAUUACUGAGUCUGCUUGGUUGGAAAAUGUAUGUAAUGCUUGUGUGUGCGAGGCGCUGUCCUCGGAUAAUGUGCCUUCGCCAGAAAGCCUUUGAAACCUGACAAAGCGUUUAAGAAGUUACGCUUUUAAAAUGAUGACACUUGUAUUUUCAUGAAUGUUCAAUGUUAAGAUUUCAAUUUCUGUAAUUUGAAUAUCGUGCUUUGCAAUUUCACCGGAUGUUGUCGAGGCGCUAGUGGCACGGCUAUCCCAAAGAGGAAGGCACUUUUAAAAGAAUAACCAGGCAUCCUCUACUGACAGAAUGAGGUCAAUAUCCUUCCAGGAUACCCGGGUCAGGUUGAUUAGAAAGGCCUGCUCGCUUUAGUGUUUUAGGGAGCGUUUGACAGUGGUGAGGGGUGGUAAUUUGAUUGCAGACCAAUUACGGACACAGGAAAUGAGGCAGUGAUCGCUGAGAUCCUGGUUGAAGUCAGCAGAGGUGUAUUUAGAGUGCAGGUUGGUCAGGAUGAUAUCUAUGAGGGUGCCAGUGUUUACAGAUUUGGGGUUGUACUUGGUAGGUUCAUUGAUAGUUUGUGUGAGAUUGAGGGCAUCAAGCUAGGAUUGCAGGAUGGCCUGGGAUUUAAGCAUGUCCCAGUUUAGGUCACCUGACAGCGCAAGUUCUGAGGACAGAUCGGGGGCAAUCAAUUCACAUAUGUUGUCCAGGGCACAGCUGGGGUCAGAAGGUUGUCUAUAGCAAGCAGCAACAGUGAGAGACUUGUUUUUGGAAAGGUGGGUUUUUACAAGUAGAAGCUCAAAUUGUUUGGGCACAGACCUGGAGAGUAAGACAAAACUCUGCAGGCUAACUCUGUCCCCUUUGGCAGUGCUAUCUUAUUGGAAAAUGUUGUAGUUAGGGAUGGAAAUUUGAGGGUUUUUGGUGGUCUUCCUUAAACCAGGAUUCAGACACAGCUAGGACAUCCGGGUUGGCAGAGUGUGCUAGAGCAGAGAAUAAAUCAAACUUAGGGAGGAGGCUUCUAAUGUUAAAAUGCAUGAAACCAAGGCUUUUACAGUUACAGAAGUCAACAAAUAAGAGCACCUGAGGAAUAGAAGUGGAGCUAGGGGCUGCAGGAUCUGGAUUAACCUCUACAGCGCCAGAGGAACAGGAGGAGGAGUAGGAUAAGGGUACGGCUAAAGGCUAAAAGAACUGGAUGUCUAGUGCGUUCGGAACAGAGAGUAAAAGGAGCAGGUUUCUGGGCACGGUAGAAUAGAUUUGAGGCAUAAUGUACAGACAAGGGUAUGGUAGGAUGUGAAUACAGUGGAGGUAAACCUAGGCAUUGAGUGACGAUGAGAGAGGUUGUGUCUCUAGAAACAUCAUUUAGACCAAGUGAGGUCACCGCACGUGUGGGAGGUGGAACUAAAGGGUUAGCUAAUGCAUGUUGAGCAGGGACGGAGGCUCUACAGUGAAAUAAGACAAUAAUCACUAACCAAAACAGCAAUGGAUAAGGCAUAUUGACAAUAGGGAGAGACAUGGGUAGCCGAGUGAUCAUAGGGGUCCAGUGAGUGGCUUGGCGGGCUGGAGACACGGCAAUUCCGGCAGCUAGCGGGCCGGGGCUAGCAUGCUAGCAGAAGGGCCUUAGAGGGAUGUCGCGACGGAAGAAAUCUGUUGUAGCCCCCUCGUGCCGUUACGCCGGCAGACCAGUCAUCGUGGAUCAGCAGAGCUCUGUGUGGUAAAAGGGUCCAGGCCAAUUGGCAAAAUAGGUAUAGUUGCCAAAGAAUUUGUCCGAUGGGCCUCUUCAGCUAACAGUCCGAUAUGCUCUAGACAGCAAGCAGGCCAUGGCGAGCAUUCAGGGGUCGCCGCGACGGAGGAGUCCGUUGGGAAAAAAACCCUCGGGCAGAUUACGUCGGUAGUCCAGUCGUGAUGGACCUGCGAGGCUCCGUGUCGGCAGUAAAAGGGGUCCAGGCCAAUUGGCAAAAUAGGUAUUGUAGCCCAAGGAGUGGCUGAUGGACUUUUUCGGCUAGCCGGGAGAUGGGCCUAGCAAAGGCUAGUUCCAUGCUAAUUGGUUCUUGCGUCGGGACAGAGACGUACGUUAGCCAGGAGUGGCCACUCAGAUAGCAGCUAGCUAGCUACGAUGAUCCAGGUGAAAAGGUUCAGAGCUUGGGGUAGGAAUCCGGAUAUGGAGAAAAAUGAGUCCGAUUUGCAUCGUGUAGACAGGUAAGGAUUGUCUGGGCUAAAGGUUAGCUGAUGGCCUCUAGCUGACUACUAGCUAGGUAUAGUGUCUAAAGAAUUUGUCCGAUGGGCCUCUUCAGCUAACAGUCCGAUAUGUUCUAGACAGCUAGCGGGCCACGGCUAGCAGGUGGGCAUUCACUGAUGACCGCUAGCAGUGUCUAACUGGUUACUAGCUAGCAGCUAGUUAGCGGGCUAGUUUCUGUUGGGGGUUCCGGGUCUAAAGUAUAGAAAAUGCCAGAUCCAUACCACAUUGGGUGAGGCGGGUUGCAGGAGAGUAUGUUGAAACAGAGGUUAAAAAUGAAAUUGUUUAAAUAAAUACAAAGAAAGAAGAUAUACACGGGACACGACAAGACGAAGACAGAGGUCUGACUGCUACGCCAUCUUGUAAUCAACCGGAGCUUUUAGAAUAUCUGACUGCUACGCCAUCUUGACUAAUCUAACAAUAGAGCUUUAAGUAUAUCAAAAAUGACUUGAUAUACCUCUACAGGUAUGCCAUCAAGCCCUGGGGUUUUUCCAGACUGAAAGGAUUUAAGACCCUCAAAAAGUUAUUCCUCUGUAAUUUGGCCUUCACACUGAUCUUUCUGUACAUUUGUUCAUAUUCCAUUUUUAUAUUAUUUGGAAAGAAUUUCUUAACGUAAUCUUCAGUCAGUGGGAAAGGAUGAGACGGAAGAGAGAACAUCUGCCUAAAAUAAUUAGCUUCCUCUUAAAAUAUCAGAGAAUCAUAGAUGACUCCCUAUUCAGUAACGAGUUUCUGCAAAUCAUUUUUGUUAGCGUUCCUGUAUUGUAGAAUUGGAGAUUCAGGAAGAAUUUUGCAUUUUUCUCCAUAUUCCAUCCAGUUUGCUUUAUUUUUGUAAGAGAUUACAUUAGAUCGUUCUUGAAUAAGUUCCUCAAGUUCUUUGUGUUUUUCCUCUAACUUAUUUUGUAUCUCUAUAGUAUUGUUUUUAUUACUAUCUACCUGUACUAUUAGUUCAUGGAUUUCCCUUGUUAGUCUUGUCUCUUUAGCCAGAAACUGCUGAAACUGAUGAAUUUUGAAUUGAAUGACCCCUGAAGGUACAUUUAAAAGGUAUCCCAAACAAUAAGGGGAUUUGCUGAACCUAUAUUAUACUGGAAGAAUUCAGUUAUAAAUUAUUUUGUCUUAUUUUUAACUAAGUUGUCCUCCAGUAAACUUUGAUUAAAUUUCCAAUAUCCCCGUCCACGUGGAAAAUCUAUAAGAGUUAUGUGAAGGCCAAUUAGAUGAUGAUCUGAUCGCAUUCUGUCUCCUAUUAAAACUUGUUUUAACCUUUGAUGCAAGAGAUACAUACAUAUUACAUAUACAAGAAAGAAAGAGACAAGAAUGUAGUCAAGACGACUAGCUUGAUUAAGUCUCCUCCAUGUCUCC
rnacentral:lncRNA from 13 species